rnacentral:lncRNA from 1 species
GUUUACGUUGGAAUUUGGUAAACAACCGCUAGUUUAAGUAUUUAAACUCGCGAGAUCAACUAGUAAAUCUCAGGACAAUUUUGUGUUUAUUCGCUUCAAGAAAACUGUUUGAAUGUUCGUUUNNNNNNNNNNNNNAUAUUUUAAAGCAUACAAGAGAAACUAAUUCGAAUCGCCUCGAAGUAGCAGUUUCUCAAGCAAGUAUCUGGAUUCAGACUUAGAAAAAAUUACUGGAAAACAAAUUGCAUUGCAUUGAAUGAAAACAAUUACAAAUAAAGAUGGUUCACAAAACAUACAUUUCUCCUUCGAAUUCCGUUCGUUCGAUCGCUGAGUACUUAGAAUUUUUAGAGAGAAUGUUUGUAUAAAUUUUGUGACCCCUGUUCUGAAUGAAAAACUGCUAUAAAUACUACUACAAAGUGGUAACUGUUCUUCGAUCAUCUGGACGCUCAUCCAUUUGCCACGUCGACCACGUUUUCCACUUUCAUCUUUCAUUCCUUCAGCGCGCGCCAAG